rnacentral:rRNA from 1 species
GACGAACGCUGGCGGCGUGCCUAAUACAUGCAAGUCGAACGAGUGGCGGACGGGUGAGUAACGCAUCGGAACGUACCGAGUAAUGGGGGAUAACUGUCCGAAAGGACAGCUAAUACCGCAUAUUAUUCGAGCGGCCGAUGUCUGAUUCGCUGGUUGGCGGGGUAAAGGCCCACAAAGGCGACGAUCAGUAGAGGGUCUGAGAGGAUGAGCCGCCAAACUGGGACUGAGACACGGCCCAGACUCCUACGUGAGGCAGCAGGGGGGAAUUUUGGACAAUGGGCACAAGCCUGAUCCAGCCAUGCCGCGUGUCUGAAGAAGGCCUUCGGGUUGUAAAGGACUUUUGUCAGGGAAGCGGUACCUGAAGAAUAAGCACCGGCUAACUACGUGCCAGCAGCCGCGGUAAUUC